rnacentral:rRNA from 1 species
GACGUAGGGGGCUAGCGUUGUCCGGAAUCAUUGGGCGUAAAGCGCACGUAGGCGGAUUGGUCAGUUAGGGGUGAAAUCCUGGAGCUCAACUCCAGAACUGCCUUUAAUACUGCCAGUCUCGAGUCCGGAAGAGGUAAGUGGAACUCCUAGUGUAGAGGUGAAAUUCGUAGAUAUUCGCAAGAACACCAGUGGCGAAGGCGGCUCACUGGCCCGAUACUGACGCUGAGGCACGAAAGCGUGGGGAGCAAACAGGG